UACGUAGGGGGCAAGCGUUGUCCGGAUUUAUUGGGCGUAAAGAGCGUGUAGGCGGCCAAACAGGUCAGCUGUGAAAACUCGAGGCUCAACCUCGAGACGUCGGUUGAAACCGUUUGGCUAGAGUCCGGAAGAGGAGAGUGGAAUUCCCGGUGUAGCGGUGAAAUGCGCAGAUAUCGGGAAGAACACCCGUGGCGAAGGCGGCUCUCUGGGACGGUACUGACGCUGAGACGCGAAAAGCGUGGGGGAGCCGAACAGG
rnacentral:rRNA from 1 species